AGAUUGAACGCUGGCGGCAGGCCUAACACAUGCAAGUCGAGCGGUAGAGAGGUGCUUGCACCUCUUGAGAGCGGCGGACGGGUGAGUAAUGCCUAGGAAUCUGCCUAGUGGUGGGGGAUAACGUUCGGAAACGGACGCUAAUACCGCAUACGUCCUACGGGAGAAAGCGGGGGACCUUCGGGCCUCGCGCCAUUAGAUGAGCCUAGGUCGGAUUAGCUAGUUGGUGAGGUAAUGGCUCACCAAGGCGACGAUCCGUAACUGGUCUGAGAGGAUGAUCAGUCACACUGGAACUGAGACACGGUCCAGACUCCUACGGGAGGCAGCAGUGGGGAAUAUUGGACAAUGGGCGAAAGCCUGAUCCAGCCAUGCCGCGUGUGUGAAGAAGGUCUUCGGAUUGUAAAGCAACUUUAAGUUGGAGGAAGGUUGUAACUUAAUACGUUGCAACUUUGACGUUACCGACAGAAUAAGCACCGCUAACUUCGUGCCUAGCAAGCCG
rnacentral:rRNA from 1 species